rnacentral:lncRNA from 1 species
AAAUAUUUGAGCAAUAACCCCAAAUUCUCAAAUUAUCUUUCCAAAACUUAGUUCCAAGAACUAAAUACAUAUGGUCUGACCAGAAGAGGUAAUACACUUAAUGUCACCUACAAUUGUAUCAUCUAUUUUAACUUCAUAUCAGACUGUUGACACAAAUUUAGCUUCUAGUCCACUAAAAUCUCUAGGGUUUUGUUUGUUUGUUUUUUCCCCCCAGGAUGACUUUUUAGUAACAUUCUUCAUAAAUUUGUAUUUCUGAAGUUUUGUUUUCUUUUCAACUCAAGUAUAAAACUUGACAGAUAUCUUUAUUAAAUUUUAUCUAGAUCUAUCUUAUCCAAUGGUCAAGCCUAUGGAGAUCUUUUUCUAAGCAUGAUAUCAUUUAGUAUGUUCUCUCAGACUCCUACGUUUUUUGUUCUAGGCAAUUCUUUAAGUUUAUCAUUUAUGUCUUUUUCCAAGUCACCAACGAAAAUGCUAAAUAGCCCAAGACCAUGCACAGAUCCCUGGAACAUUUUCCUAGAGACAUUCUUCCAAGAGGAGAGGGCCAUUUCAUCUUGAUUUUUCAGAGCUGUAACUAUGCAACUGGAUGACUGGGAAAGCUUCACAAAAAGCAGCAUAAAACAUGCCCUAUGAACAUCUUUUUAAUGAUAACUUCAGUGGAGAAAAGAGAGAGAGAUCCUGGAACAUCAGGAGGCUGCUGCUAUUUUAAUUCAUUAUUACAAUGAAAAAGAGAUUUCUCCCUGGAAUCAGAGGACCAAGGUGCAAAUUCUGCCUCUUCUACUUAAAAAACAAUUCACAAUCUCCACA